CACCGCCCGUCACGCCAUGGGAGUUGGUCUCGCCUGAAGACACUGUGCUAACCGCAAGGGGGCAGGUGGCUACGGCGAUACCGAUGACUGGGGUG
rnacentral:rRNA from 1 species